rnacentral:lncRNA from 1 species
GGGUCAAGCAAUACAAACAGACAAAUAUACAUUUUAAAUACAAUGCAAUACAAUAAAAUACAAUACAAUGUAAUAGAACAUAUUUUAAAAGUUCAAUUAUAAAUUUAUGUAUAAAACACAAUCAUGAGCUUGUCUGACAUGGGUCUGACUGACCCCUCAGUUCUAAAGACUGCUUAAUGAAGACUCCAAUAUGACAAACAAGUUCAGG